rnacentral:rRNA from 1 species
GAUGAACGCUGGCGGCGUGCCUAAUACAUGCAAGUCGAGCGAAGCGGGGACGGGUGAGUAACGCGUGGAUAACCUCCUAUAAGACUGGGAUAACUUCGGAAAACCGGAGCUAAACCGGUUACUACUAGAUAGAUCCUCGCUACAUUAGCUAGUUGGUAAGGUAACAGCGUACCAAGGCAACGAUGCAUCGCCGGCCUGAGAGGGUGAUCGGCCACUCUGGAACUGAGACACGGGCCAGACUCCUACGGGAGGCAGCAGUGGGGAAUCUUGCGCAAUGGGCGAAAGCCUGACGGAGCAAAGCCGCGUGAGUGAUGAAGGUCUUAGGAUCGUAAAACUCUUUUAUUAGGGAAGCGGUACCUAAUCAGAAAGCCCCGGCUAACUACGUGCCAGCAGCCGCGGUAAUUC